CACCAGAUAUUUUUACAAAUUUUUUGUGGCCCGCUGCAAAAGUUCUAGUGAAGUACAAGAAAUUAAACAGUCUGGAUUAUACAAGAAUGUCUAGACUAUUUUAAAAAGUAACCAUUUGACACAUUUAAAAAAUAGUCAUCAAUGCAUGAAUUUCAAAAAUUAUAAGCGUUUUUAAUAACAAAAUGAUAUUUUGUCCCAAGGUAUGUAAUAUUAAAGAAAUGUACCCUUUUAUCUUUACUUAAAGACAGCACGUAUCAUGUAAUGGAAAUUUUACAUAGUUUUUUUUUUUAAAGCUGUCUUUACAUGUUAACUCAAUGUUUUUGAAGUUGAACUGGAUGUUAUUUUAAGCCUUAAAAAUAAAAUAUGCUUAGACCUUUUAGGAUGUUGUAUUGAACUUAGUUACCACAGUGAACUUUAAGGUCUAUUCACUUCCCGGUUUGCUCAUGGCUGACUUCAGUCCGGUUAGACUGUAUCCGGGUGCAAGGUAGUCAGACUGCACCUGGGUGAAAGGUCAUUCUAAUUGGUUGCGGGUCCCCUAGCGACCACAGUUCUUUUUAACAUGGCCUCUGUCUGAAUUCUCCGCAGUCCGUGGCACUUCAGGACCCCAAGAGAAAUGCCAGAUGAUAGAGAAAACACCUAUUGAAACUGGAGCUGCAGCAGAAAGCUGGUAGAUAAUGCAACGAUGGACUGGGAACUCAUCUCGUCUUGGAAGUGGAAGUGGUGAUAUGGAGGCAUUCCAACUGACUCUGGGGUUUGAAAAACAGAAACAUGGCUGAGCAAAGCCACCAAUUAAAACAAACCCUUGUGAGCACUGUGGAAGAUGGUCAUUUUCAACACAUGGUGCUUGUCAUGGAUCCAGGGAGCAGAAUUUACUCUUCUCUGUUAAGAAGCAGCUCUGGUGUCCUGACCAAAUGUCAGAAGAUGGGACUUUGCUCAGACCAAGCUACCAAAGACCACUGCCCUUCAUUUCAUGAGCUCAGCCCUGUCUACCCAGACGAGCAACUGAGGAGCCUGAUCCAGGAGCCAACAGAUAUUUACAACCACUGA
rnacentral:lncRNA from 13 species